GGAAGGUGCUUGUUUCAACAGUACAAACUGGAAUGCUACAGAGAAGAUUCGGAUGGCCCUGUGCAAGGAUGACACCCAAGUUUGUGAAGCACUCCAUAUAGAA
rfam:Homo sapiens chromosome 2, GRCh38 reference primary assembly.